AUUGAACGCUGGCGGCAGGCUUAACACAUGCAAGUCGAGCGGGGGAGAUUGCUUCGGUAAUUGACCUAGCGGCGGACGGGUGAGUAAUACUUAGGAAUCUGCCUAUUAAUGGGGGACAACAUCUCGAAAGGGAUGCUAAUACCGCAUACGCCCUACGGGGGAAAGCAGGGGAUCACUUGUGACCUUGCGUUAAUAGAUGAGCCUAAGUCGGAUUAGCUAGUUGGUGGGGUAAAGGCCUACCAAGGCGACGAUCUGUAGCGGGUCUGAGAGGAUGAUCCGCCACACUGGGACUGAGACACGGCCCAGACUCCUACGGGAGGCAGCAGUGGGGAAUAUUGGACAAUGGGGGGAACCCUGAUCCAGCCAUGCCGCGUGUGUGAAGAAGGCCUUUUGGUUGUAAAGCACUUUAAGCGAGGAGGAGGAGCUCUAGGUUAAUACCCUAGAUGCUUGGACGUUACUCGCAGAAUAAGCACCGGCUAACUCUGUGCCAGCCGCCGCCGUAAGAC
rnacentral:rRNA from 1 species